GCGGUUCAACCAAAAAGAUGGGGAAUCUCUAUAUGAUGCUUAGACUUUAUUACUGGACUUUCAUCGUCAUUUCAUCAUCAUGAUUCCUAGACACGACUCUACAUGCAUGCAUGAGACAGACUCUUCAAGUAUUAAAAGAUCAUAACAUCAUCAACAAAUCAGAAUCAUAAAUUCGGACUCUUCCUAUUAUGCACGACAUCAAGACAAACACAUCAUCGUCAUUCACAUCAUCAUCAUAAGUCAACAUCGUCAUUCUCAUCAUCAAUGUAUAUUAGACACCAUCAUUCAAGUCAUCAUCAUAAUUAUACGUCGUCAUUCUCAUAGUCAAUAUAUAUAUAUUUACACACCACCCUCAUCAUCAUCAUAGAUAAACAUCAUUACUCUCCUCAUCAUACUGAUGUAGUUAUCGUCAUCCUCAUCAUCACUAACAUAUAAACAUUAUCAUUUCUCAUCGUAUUUAUUUAAUUACAUAUAUAUAAUAUCUUCGUCAUCACUCUUCGUCACAUUAUGGAUUCCUCAUUAUUCAUCUCUAUCAACCGUUUAUAUCACCAUUGUAUCUCUUCACUAAUCCAACCCUUACACAUAAUUCAAUUCUACGUCAACUUCCCUAUAUUUUAUUUUAGUAUUCAUUUUACGAACAUACAUUAUUCUCUCAUUUAUUCUAGACUCUAUAAACUUUAUUCCUAAUAUCAUACCCUAUUCCUCAUUCUUGGUCUCAAGUUGUUUUUCUUAUUCGCUAUCAUUACAUGCAAAGUCUCCGCUCUAUAUAUCUAGGUUUUUCCUCACAAUUGUUAUUAACUCUUUCCUACUUAUUCUCCUCAAUAAAACGACUUUAUAUCUUAUUACUUGUUCACACGUUCGUCGUCAUCUAUACAUCGUCCGUCCCCUAAUCUUAACUUCAUUUUAAUUUUAAAGUUAUUAUCUAACCUAAUACUUCAUUAUAAUUCGAGGUUUCAUUCUCUUGAUACCGGUCGUUAUUAUAUUCGUCACUCAUUACAACUACUACCUCUUAUCCUCUUUCCUGUGCAUCUUGCUCCCUGCUAAUCGAUCCUCUUCUUAUUCAUCGUUAUCAUCAUUCCUGUUAUGUUUUCAGUCCUUAAUAUACAACUCCUUACCUUCUCUUACAUUUCGUCUUAACGAUCUUCUCAUCGUUUACGAUCAUAUUCUUUAUUCAUUUUUUUACAUCUUAUAUGUUACUGUCUAACACUCAUCUUAAGUUCUUUAACUACUUUGGUUCAUUCCCUCUUUCAAUCAACAGUAUUCUUAGACUCAUUAUUGGUUUAAGGAGAUCAUAUUUCAACUCAUUAGUUAUUCGAAAAAGAACCUACUUCACAUCCCAUAUUAUCAUCGUCUUAUACCCUUUUUACUAAAUCGUGUGUUUUUAGUCUCACCACAUACCCACACUAUUUGCUCUAGUAAUUUCUCGUCUUGUUACCCUUAAUCAACUUGAUAUCCUUUCUCAAUAAUAUUAUCAUCCCCUAAAUUACCCAAUACUUUAACUCCUACUCAUAACAUAACCCACUUCAUAAUUUACUCGUCACCCUAAACAAGACACGUCAUCGUCAUUACUCGUC
rnacentral:lncRNA from 1 species